ACCUGCCGGCGCAGGCGGUGUGCUCUCGGGCCGCAGGCGAGGAGAGGGGGGCGGGCCGGGAGGGUGCCUGGGUGGGCCGCACUGCACUGACGGGAGGAGGGGGCGGAGCCGAAACACAAGUCUAGGAGAUUUCCUUCUCACUGAAGUGUGGCCCUUGAGGGCAAGUAAAGCAUGGAUAAUAAUUUUGUGACCACAGCGUGGUGUGGCAGCAAUAACAGGUCACUGCUUUGUUCAGUGUUGCCAGUGACAGAAAACCUAAUUCGAGGUGGCUAAUAUAAUAAUACUGGAGAAUAUGUGAGUGCUCUCUGGGCGCCAGGCUCUGAGAAUCCAUACAUUGAAUCUCUAAUCCCUAGUGGGAUUGGUAUUUGGAGAUGGGGCCUUUGGAAGGUAAUUCGGUCAUGAGGGUGGAGCCCUCCUCAAGAGAGUAGCACCUUCAUAAGAAAAAUCACAACAAACCUCAUGCCCCUUCCCCUUGUGAGGAUACAGCACGAGAAUGGCUGUCUUCAAGCCAGGAAGCAGGCUGUCACCAGACACUAGAUCUCCUGGGACUUUGACCAUGGACUUUCAGCUUCCAGAACUGUGAGAAGUAAAUAUUUGUUGUUUAACCAGCCAGUCUGUGGUAUUUUGUUAUAGCAGCCUGAGCUAAAAUCCACUGCACAAGGGCUCAGCCAGAUGAAGAGGGUGGUUCCUCAGAGGAAAAUUAGGGUCCUAUUAGCAGGAGCAUGAGUGGCCACUAAUCUGCAGAAACGUUAGUCUUGAAGCAGGGAGACAGCUGGAUUCUGUUCUGUGACACUUUGCAGCCAUUUCUCUCUGGCCUUGGUUUCUAUUUUAAAAGAGGCAUUGAAUUAGGAGCUCUCCAAGGUCCUUGCACUGCGCAUGUGCUGUGACAGAGUUCAAUACCAGCUUUCCAGGAUUCAGGAUCUGACACUGGACCUUCUGGGGACCCGAGUUCCUCCCCUAUCCCCACCCCCACCACCCAGUCCUCCCAGUCUUUGCAGAGCUGACUCUUCAAGUUUGGACAGGAGGUCUGCACUUCUCGGCCCACACUGCAACUGAUCAUCCUCAUUCCUGCUUCUGCUUUUUUAUUUUAACUUUCAGUUCUGAUUUCUUCUCUUACCAAACCUUGCCACUUCUCUCCUGGGCUAGACACAGUGGGUUCAAAUUCCAGGUCCAUCACUUACUCUGUGAGUCACACAACCUCUGAGCCUAUGUCUUCGUCUGCAAAAUGAGAAUAAUGCCCACCUGCCUCUUCAGGGGGGAGGGCAGAUGAAGUGAGAAAGUCCGUGUAGAGAUCUUACAACAAAGCCUGACAUCCAUGUGGCACCCACGUAUUCCUAGUAGUAGUAUUAUAAUCUCUGGGUACUUGGGUUGGUGCACUUGGCCUUUUGCAUCACUGCUUAGCAAGAGUUCGAGAAAUACUUUAGAAACAACACUGGAUUUAGUACCAUUCCAAAUGAUUGAUGGAGAGCAGCUUUCAGGGUGAUGGACAUUACUGUGCAAAUUUGGGUAUUUGGGACAGGGAAGCAUGGCUGGGCUGAUGCCUGCAUGGACUGGCUAGACUUCCCCAAUGGUUGCCCAUCAACUACAGGGCAGAGUUCAGGCUCUUCCCAAUAGCUUUUCCCCAGCUGGCUCCACUUUCUGUGGUAGCCCCAUCUCUGUGAACCUUUAAGCUCGAGCCUAGGCAGAACUUACUAUGUGGGCCCUUGCCCACUCCAUCAGACCUCCAGGCUUCCCCAACACAUCCCCCAAUGUCCCUCAUGUCCUAUUCACCUUCCUUGUUCCACUGGUCAUUCUCAUUCAGCUUGAAGUCUCAGAUCAAAGGUCAGCUCUUGCUGAACCCAAGGGAAAGCAGAUCUGGGUUAUGAUGCCCUCAGGCUUUGUACAUCCUCCAUCCUCACCCUUCACCUGUGUGUUAUGAUUGUUUGUUUUCCCAUCUGUCUCCCUGACCACACCAUGAGAUCCCCGAGGGAGUGACUUUCUUACUCAUACUGGAAUUUCCAGGGCUUAAUCAUCACCUCACACACAAUAGGUACUCAAUUUUUAUUAAAGGAAUGACUAUCCCUUCCUUGAUCCCCCAGAUAAUGGUUAAGUCAUGCAUUGAAAAGUGUUGAAAGAACCUGAGCGAACAGGGGCAGAGAUGAGCAGCACUGACAACCCCCCAUCUCACUCCCUCUCUCCAUCCCACCCCUCAUGCCCACCAGCCAUGUGUGUGGCUGCCCUCACCCUCUCAUAACUCAGCUCCAGCAGGCUCUCCCCCGUGUGCUAAAAGGAGGUGGUGAAGUGAUUCCUAAACUCUUAUCGAUGGCAUAUCUCUUUGUUUACACUAUUUGGUUUUUGCUCUCUCCUUGGAAACUUAUUCACUGGGAGUCAACUUGGAGUUGCAAGUGGUUCACAGUGUUUUUACUUUAAUUCUGCUUACAGUCACUCCUCUGUUUGUGAAGCCAGAUGUCUUGCCGUGAGCCUGGCACCCCUAGGGUGGGACCCUGGGUAGCCGCUUCUUGGCUUGGUGGCCCUUUGUCACCACUCAGCCAGUGGUACCCUUCUUCUGGGGUGGCCCACACUGUAGAGUUCCUUCCUGUACACUCUGCUGAUUCAAUUAAUUUCAGUGCCUGCAGUUUUCCUUUGGUAUUUAAGGUACUACAUGCAGCAGCUAAAAAUGUGAUUCUCCCUAUGUCUGGCAGAGGAAAACUUGCAGAAAUGAUCUGUUAGAAAAGUACAACUCAAGGGGGAGGGUACAGCUCAGUGGUAGAGUGCCUGCCUAGGAUGCAGGAGGGCCUGUGUUCAAUCCCCUCCUCUAAAAAAAAUAAUAAUAAGCAAACCUAAUUACCUUCCCCCACAGAAAAACCCAAAAA